UGGCAUGUGAUCAUUGGACCUUUUUUUUUUGGCCAGCCGGUGAAAUCGUGUCUUCUCCCCAUCAAACCAUAUAUGUUCCCUUUUGCAUUCCACCACCAUGAUUCACUUUCAUUAUGAAAAGAAAGCAUGAAACUGAGGGUUAGACACUUGAUUUGAAGAUGAAGCCAGACUUAGAGAAUGUGAUUAGAGAGAGAGAGAAAUGGUUGCUUUCGCCGGCCGCCGAGCCUUCACGCCGGUGAUCAGAUACUUUCUCCGGGUUACAAGAACCCGUCAGAAAUGGAAGCAAAAAAAAUGGCAAUGGCAGGUCAAAGAUUGGAGAUUACGAGUUUAUUGAGCAGCUUGGUAGAGGAGCUUUCCUCCAAUUUCUCGGUAUUGUUUGUUUCAGUGAUUGAAUUUACGAAAAUUACACAGCGUUUGUCAACGGUGGGUGUAUGCUUCUCGGUCUUCUUCAGUUCAAGUGAGGAAAAAACAAUCCCUUUGAUUUGAUUUUGCUAUUUUCAAUCACUUUUUGAUGGAUUUUUAUUUCUUUGCUCGAAAUUUCAUGACGGAUUUCAAGAUCUGUUAUUUUGUGAAGAUUAAUGAGAACAGUAUCCUGACAGACACCAUAAUUGCAAACUAUAAUGGGUAAAGUUGUUUCUGAGCAGUUUGAGUGUUGAACAUUAAUAAUGGGGUAGAAACUUUGAUUUAUGAAUGAUGUUAUUUUGGUUGUGCAUGGAUGGGUUGACCAUAUUUAGCCUGAAUACACAAUUUUUCUUUUUCAUGAAGGCCUUUGUGAUCACAAACUGGUGCUACCUGUUCAAGUAUAUUUUUCAACAUUGAUGAUUCAUAGUAGGAAAAACAUAAAACUUAUAUGGAAACUUCAAAAAUCUUGAAUUUAGAUAGAAUAGUAAGAGGAAAAAACAAGACGUGUUUUAAUCUUAAGUAUUGAGUUAUAGUCAGUUAAUAUCACUUGUAGAGUUGCAUAGCGAAGGUGAUUGUUGAUGGUGGUUCCGGCGAAGAGCAAAGGUGGUUGUUGCUGGUAGUUCAGGUGGUGAACAGUAACGGUAGUGGUAUGUAUGCCGACUGAUGAUGUUGUGAAUCUUGUGAUGGUGAUUUAUGGUGGUUGUCGGCUGCGAAGACCCUUUUCAGCCACCGGUCAGAGGUGUUAGCUUGGUAAUUGUGGUUGGUAAGGUUGUGGUGGUAGUACAAAGGGACUAUAAUGGUGAUGGUUGAUAGUGGUGGUGGCUGCCGUGAUGAUUGUCGGUGGUGGAGACCCUCUCCGGCCGCCGAUCAAGUGGUGGUUAGUGGUUGGAGGUGGUCUAGACUCAAUCCUUCUUACUACGUCUCUUCAGAUACUCCAUGGGACAUGGGAGUGAAUGUGAUCGCAUUUGCAUGCUCUGUGCUAUAGGGAUGUGAUAUAUGGUUCAUCAAUUGGCCACCGGAAAUCAUUUCGUUGGACGCCACUAUCUCCGCUAUUAUUUUGAUUCCACUAUCUUCGCUACUACUUCAUUUUCACCGUGGAUCUAGUAAGCCAGGUUUCGAUCCUGAACAUCUGAAAGCCAGACUACGAUUCCAAGUACAAUUUAAGGGGGAGUCUGCUAGCAUAAGAGGAGUUUGAAGAGCCAGGAUCUGAUCAUAGAUCUGUGGGAUUGCGCAAACUGCUGAUACUGAUGAACUUAAGGAAUCAAGAGAUCUGAUCAAGAGAAUUAGAGUGAAGAAAGAGCCAGGUUGAUAUCCUGGAAAUGAAGAAAAGAAAGAAGAUUGAGGAUGCUUUACAUUGUCAGAUACUUUGGAAGAGUUCGAGAUGACUGAAGAUUGAAGACUCGAUACUGAAGACUUCGUCAACAUCUAAGGGGGAGUCUGUUGGUGCAUAUGUCUGUCGACUUCGUCUUGUAUCGAGUCUUAUAAUGUAUUAGAUAGAUCAAGGCACGUAGUACGAGAAAACUGUUAAAUAUGGGUUAGGAGGUGUUGAUUUCGUGCGAAAUAGCGAUUUCGUGUGAAUGUGAUUUCCGGUUUCAGUACCGAACUGCUGCCGAAGUGUCUACUCGCUGUAAAACUUUG